rnacentral:rRNA from 3 species
GACUUUCGGCAACGGAUAUCUUGGCUCUCGCAUGGUUGAAGAACGUAGAGAAAUGUGGUACCUGGUGUGAAUUGCAGAAUCCUGCGAACCAUCGAGUCUUUGAACGCAAGUUGCACCCUGAUGACCCACAAGUGUAGGGGAUCUAUCAUAGUCC